UCCUGAAGCAAAAUAUGUAGACACAUAUGAGAAAGUCGAUCCAGGGUCAAAUAAUACAAAUGCAAAUCUGAAACAAACAGGGAUAAUACCUAUGAUCAUAGCAUCAGAAGCCUCAGCCUCUGGCUUGGCAGGUAUAACAUAACACUAACCACGACCUCAAGCUAGUAGAGUAGUCCCACAACCACCACCACGGGCUCCACCACCUCUAACUCUUACACCUCUAGUAGUACCUCC
rnacentral:lncRNA from 1 species